GAUAAAACAGCAAAAGAGGUAGCAGCCAAAACAUUUAUGGGAUUUGCUGACCAUGCAACAAAUGAAGACAAACUUUCAGAUGAUGUGUUAAACAAAAUGCAACAACAAAGCUUACCAGCAUAACUAAAAAUGUGGAAAAAAUAAGGUGCUACAUUACAAAAUUGGAAUUCUGUCAGCACAGGUCAAAAAAAAAAAAAUUCUGCCAAAAACAUUUUUUAAGUGGGCGGCAAUCUUGAGCCUUGGUGAGUCUCAUGUCUCAACAGGGGGAAUGGGAGCCCUGGUUCAAAGGCUCCAUGGAUUAAACUUGUAUGCAAAAAAAAUUUGGAGGGCUUGUUAGACCUGUGCGUGACAUAAAUCCCUAUGGGAAUGUGCAUCCAAAACGUGGUCAGUUUCCUCAAACUACACAUCCAUCCAUCCCUCCAUCCAUUUUCUUAGCCACUUAUCCUCACAAGAGUCGCAGGGAGUGCUGGAGCCGAGCCCAGCUGUCAACGGGCAGGAGGCAAGGUAGACCCUGACCUGGUUGCCAGCCAAUCGCAGGGCACAUGGAGACAAACAGCCGCACUCACAAUAACACGUAGGGGCAAUUUGAACACAAUGAUAGAUUUAGUCUAACUAUACAGACAUUACAAGCACGUAAGGGUCUCAUUCCAUUCAAAACACUGUUUGGGAGACCAUACCAUUCCCAAUAUUUUCCACACAAUGAGAGAUAGACGAAUCAUGAAGGGGAAAAAAAACAUCACACAAGUGGGUCCCUUUCAGGAGUUAUUAACAACCCCAAACAGCUUAAAAAAUUGCAAAAGGGGUACUUGAGUUCAUUUGUUGAUUGUAAGAAAGUUAUUGCUUUUGAAACCAUUGUUAACACAAACAAAACUAAUUUGUUUUUAUUGGCCACUUGUAAGAUAGCUGUUCUCUUUCCCACUGCCAAGGUCGCUGUAGUCCGGUUACACAUGGGAGUGAGACUGGUGUCAUAAUGGUGACUAACAUUACAUUUUGCUGUUGGGUGUUGGAUGAAAACGUUAAAAUGCAAAAAUAUGAUAGGAGUUAAAACAAAUUGGGAAAUUUAUCAGCAUUGAUUUGUAAAAACAUGUUUGUGCCAUUGUCAUAGUGGUGCAGCUGUAACUGUCUUUUUGAUUUUUUUUUUACGCCGGAUGCCUUUCCUGACGCAACCCUUCUGCAUUUAUUCGGAGAGAGAGCUGGAGCCAAUCCCAGUUAACUUCGGGCAGCGGCAGACUACACCCCGAACUAGUCACCACCCAGUCGCAGUGCAGAUGUCGACACCAUCACUGAGCGGGAAAUGAUCCCACGCUGCCUUCACUCAAAAUGUCCCUCUGAGGGAAACCCGAACUACAAUGUGGCCCGCAAGAGAAAUGAGUUUGACACCCCUGCACAACACCAUCAGAAAAAAAAUGGACAGAUGUUAAGGUGGGAAGUCUCAACAAAAGAUGGUGUCAUGAUAUCCAUCUGCAAACUGCCCCACUUCUCCCAUGCAGCGAUGUGUGGUGGUGGUGUGGUGGUCAAAAGCAGAGGAUAUACAAUUGGCCGCAUCCAUCUUUGGAUCUCCCCUUGGGUUCUCCCGAAGGCGAAGGUUCUCUUGGAAAGAUGGAGAUCCGACAUACAAUGAUGCAAAUGGCAUCCCAACGGCGUACCAGAUGAGUCUAAGUUUGUUAACGAGAUUGCUGCAGGAUGGGAUUCCAUCUUGUUAUGGAUAACUCUGAAUAAAAACGUUGACAGAAUCAAGUAAAUACAUUACAAUGUACAGAAACUUGGUAAUUAUACGGAUCCAGGCUUUAUUGCCAUAAGGGAACAACCAGCUGCAACCUCACUCAUGACGUUCCAGAACCGCAUCGCGGUCGACAUGCUCCUGGCCGAGAAGGGUGGCAACUGCUCAGUGUUUGGUGACCAGUGUUGUAACAAGAUGAAGGAGCACUCUGGUGUAAACACAUCAGCCUGGUCUGAGUGGUGGGAAAAAAAAAGAAGUUUGGCAAAUCUAAAAACUUGGUGUUCUCUGUUCCAGUUUCUAUAGCUGUUGGCAGCUAUUCUUGCAUUGUGUGGAUGUUGUUGUAUUCCCUGUAUAAAGGCAUCACCUAACCAACUUAUAACCAUUGCUCUUGCCCCAACAAAUUCAAAAUUGGCAGAAAAAUAUCCUCUAUUGGCACAACAGGGUGAUGACAGUGAUAUUAUUGACCACAAUGAUGACGUUAUGACUUCUCUUCCAGACCUGUUCUCUGAUCCAGAAGAUUACAAGUAAUUAGUGCUAUAUUUUCCUCAGAGUGUAACUAUGUAGAAUAAAGCCGAAGGGUGAUCUAUUAGAUGAUGUGAGGAUUUGAGCAAAUGUAGGAUAAACAGGAGGAUAAUGUAGAAAUACUUGUAAAUAGAAUUAAGUAACUGCUUCUGACUGCAAUGAAGAAAUGCUUUGCUCUUCCUGCAAUGAAGAAUGCUUUGCUCUACUCUAGAAAACGUGGUUGCAAAUGUAGGAUAAACAGGGGGGAAAUGUAGGAAUAAUUGUGAUUAUAAUUAGCAUACAUCUGCUUCCAAUAAAGAAAUGCUUUGCUCUGCUCUUGAUAACGUGGCAGCCUCCUAGCAGGAGAUAGCAAGAACAAAAACAUUUCAUCAUCAGAACUGUUAGAACUGCUGCCUGUUAAAGAAAUGAUGACCACACAUGUAUUCAGCAAUCUUCCACACACGCACAUGGUGAAUUGUACGAGACAGAUCCUCUCCUCUCUCCUCGCGAGACUUGAACUUGUGUCUUUGCUUCCUUUUUUGUCCUGUUUAAUGAAUGUCUGAUUGGUGAACCUGACGCACAGCAUAUAAUGUAUGAAAAGGUAUUGCAUCUUUCACAAUUUUUAUAUAUUUACAUAGUUUCCAAACUUUAAGAUAAGCAAACAAAUGUAAAUGUCUGACUAAUAUAACCCAAGUGAACUUAAGAUGCUAUUUUCCAAUGGUAAUUUCAUUUAUUGGGGCGGGGGCUUCAGUUACCUGGCCCUGUGUGGAAAAGUCAUCACCCCUCUUAUUAGAUCAGGAAUUAAUUGUAGCAAAGACUUUUUCACUGCACUGUAUAAAUGGUGAAAGGUUGUCUUUGUUCCUAAUGUAAUGGUGUGAUGUUGUUGCGCUAUGUUAUCAACAGG